rnacentral:lncRNA from 1 species
CACCUCUUCCAGGAAGCCUUCUUGAAUGCCCGCACUGGGCUAGGUGCCCCUUACCACUCUGCUGUCCAGCUUCUCUGCACUGCCCCUCAUUCCUAGGAAGGACGUUGCUCUCUCUUACACUUCUGAGUCUCUAAGCCACUGAUCUUUUUCCCCACGGAUGCUGGCCCUGUGUGCUUCUCAUCCUGUCAUGCUCAGCUCAGGCAAUCUCACCCCCAGGGAGCCUUCUCUGACUCCCUGGCCAGGCUGGGCAUCCUCCUGUGGACCCCUGUAGCACCCCGUGCAGACCCUCAUCACGUUACAUUAUGAUGGUCUAGGAAACUGCUGUCUCAUCUGACUGAGAGUUCCUGGAGGGUGUGAGGGUCAGGUCUUAUCAUCCGGGGAUCUACCAAGUGACGUCAAAAGAAGGAUGGCAUGCAUCAGGUAUCACAUAGGAAGAGGAGAUUGGGAUCUCUGCUGCAGAGCAUCAAAACCAGCUGCUGGACUUUCAGAAAGCAUUGAUUAUGUCAAUGGGAAGACAUGUCUGCCUCCGAGGACAGACAGCACAAAUCCAACCCCAAAUGUAGGCUCAGUUCGGUGCCAUCAAUGCAUGAAAAGUCAGCUCUGCAUGAUGAUAAAGAAAGAGCAGGGCAGUAUUAGUACUGAUGGGGAAUGAGUGGCCCCGGUGGGCACUAUGGCAGACUGGAGCCCCUGCAAGCUCCUAGCUCCAAGUCCAUCCCUUCAGGAACAUGCCAUGGACCCCAGACUUCAAUGGUGCUCCCUGUGAAAGGACCACUUGUCAUCUAGCUUUUCUCCCACAAAGCACUUCUCAUCAUCGUAAUUAAGAAAUUUCACGUAUGACUGUUUAUCCGAGUCUGCCCCCCUGACUGUGCAUUCUUCAAAGCUCAGGACUGUGUCACAGUCCCAGCACCCACCCAUGCCUGGCACUUUGGUGAUGCUCUACUACUGUGUGCUGGAGGAAUGGAUAACUGCAUGAAUAAAAAAAAAUGCUAAAACCAUCCAACUUGCAGAGCCAUUGCCUGGAAAAAGAGGUAAUUAUGUGUGAAAACAAAUUGGG